UAAAAAUACGAGCGUGGCGUCGUCGGCCGCCCGCCGCCGGGCUCCGCGCCCGCACCCAAACACCGCCUGUAAUCCCCAAGCCGACACGAUCCCUUAUUUCAACUAUAUUGUAUCGAUAGCGCUCUCUAUGCAGGCUCGUUAAAAUUGAUGCCGUACUCAAAUAGAUCCUGUUUAUUCAGAAAGAUUAGAAGAGAAAAGAAAAUCAAGGCAUGAUUUCUUGCAGUGGAGUAGUAACCACACACAUAAAAGAAACCAUUACAUUAAUUUAGUUAUCUUGAUUAUUGAAUUUCAAACAACACAGUCUUAGAAAGAUGUCUAAGAAGUAGUUUUUAAAGAAUUCCUGUUAUAUAUGAGGGAAUUGAGUCAAAACCUUAUUUCAAUUGAUGAUCAAAGGAUAAGCAAUCAAGUGCGAAAGUUUACAAUAGAAAUAAUUCUAUUGAAAUUCAGAAACAUGAAAUUGGUGUUGUGUAGGGACUUCUAUCGGGCACACGGUAAGACUCUUUUUAUACAAUCACAAUUGCGGCGUUCCCUUCAUUUUAUCGAUAAAUAAGGAUCGUUAGAACCACUUCUAUUGAAUAUGUAACUUUAUUAUCGUUAGCCGAGACAUCAAAUAAUAAUAAAUAAUCAAAGUAAA